rnacentral:lncRNA from 1 species
GGGUCAAUGUGAAAUGCAAAGCAAAAUUAAGUGAGUAUAACUCUGAUGAUAAGCAUCAUCUAAUAUCUGCGCUCGGCCAAACACACAACAGUGAAAACUAAAUUCAAUAUCACAAACAUAUAAGCAAACCUGCUCUAAGCAUGAUCUGUUAAUGCCGGGGGGGGGGGGGGGGGGGGGGGGUAUUUUCUUAAACAUUAAACAAUAUCCUAUUAAUAGCUACAUUUAUGGAAAGAAAUCCAAGUGAAAGACACCACUUUGCUUCUUUAAGUGUAUCAAAUCCACAGAUUGUUGCCAAAAGGGGUACUUGCUGAUUUUUCCCUGCGGUCGUUUUAAGAGGGCAGAGUCACUGUAAGACAUUAUCGCUAAUUUGCUGCUAGCGAAUUUGUGGUACAAACCAGAAUUUUAGUUUGACCCUUGAUUUUAUAAUUUAAUACGAAUAUUACUCACAUUAUUAGUUUUACUGGUAAACCAGGAGCAAGUUGUUGGAGUCCAGCUGUGACCCCGGGGCAAGAACUUUUUGCUGCUGUCACCUUCUGACAGUUUGGGCUGUUAAUUACCUCAAUCAACUAGCACACAAGCACCUCUCUGUCUGCCAGCUGGCAGGCUCAGCUUCAGAAACUGGCAGCUUGGGAAGAUUUAAAACCUGUAAAAAGGACUGCUAUGUAAACAGUUUAUUGUGUAAUAUUUGAUGACCGCAGUAGACCCGCAUCAGUAAUCAAAGCCAGAAGAGUGAAACUAGGGAUUUCAGUUCUGGAGGCGUUAUGUUGGUGCGGUGGAGCAAAGCCAGUCAUUUCGCUGUACUGAAAUAAAUGUGGAACCAAACAGAAAGAAAGUGCUACACAAAUCGUCAAAUCAACCAUCAGCAAAAGAAGCUAAAAUACAUCAAUGUUGGAGAGAGAGAAUGGUGGGAAGCUUUGGAUGGAGAUGAUGGUGUUGACGAAGAGACAAGGUGGAACGUUACAAGACAUUAGUGAGAUGAAGGAGGCAGACUGUAGGGACUAAUUACACACACGUACAGCAGAAGGAAGGGUAAAGAUGGCUGAGUUUCCAGUACAAGUCGCUAGGAAACUCCGUAAGACCAACAUGCUGGUGUAAGGGAAAGGCGAUACGUGACAUAUCACUGCGUUUCAGAGUCUCAACCCUCAAUGUGUAUCAAGAUACUCUGGAGAACUUAUGCUUAUUCUGGAAAUUCAAAUGUCCCACCUUAAGCCCUAGAAUUUAAGACUUAAUUGGUCAGGCGUGAAUUCGGUCCUGCGUGUUUAAAAAAACAAAAACAAAAACAAACAAACAAAAAAACACCUCAUCCCUCCCCAGUGAUUUCCAUGUUUUGAUGAGGUUGAAACAAACUUUCACAUGUCUGGACCUUCCAUAAAUGUGUGUUUGCUUGUUUCUAAAAGAUGAUUCCUUGAAAAUAAUAAAACAUGGUACUAAAAACCGGAAAGCUGUGAC